UACGUAGGGGGCUAGCGUUGUCCGGAAUCAUUGGGCGUAAAGCGCGUGUAGGCGGCCCGAUAAGUCCGCUGUGAAAGUCCAGGGCUCAACCCUGGGAUGCCGGUGGAUACUGUCGGGCUCGAGUCCGGAAGAGGCGAGUGGAACUCCUGGUGUAGCGGUGGAAUGCGCAGAUAUCAGGAAGAACACCAACGGCGAAGGCAGCUCGCUGGGACGGUACUGACGCUGAGACGCGAAAGCGUGGGGAGCGAACAGG
rnacentral:rRNA from 1 species